CACACGUCCCGGUUGCCGGCUAACCGGCGCCGGGUAUCCGGUGGUGAAGUGUAUGGGCAUGGUGCGUAGCUUUCACAUGUUCCGGCGUAAUUAAUCCGGCAUGCCCAUACACUUCACGACCGGGUACCCGGCGCCGGUUAGCCGGCAACCUCGACGUGUGAAAAGGGCCUAACGAUCGAUGCAAAAAAAUACAGGGUGUAAUUUUUAACAGAUUUUAGUUGGUUCGAAUCCCGGGUGUGGAAAGCAAAUUAUUGGAAAUCUUUGAAUGCAGUUCUAUUUCUUUUUAAAAAUAAAGGAAUGUUUUCCUUGAGAAAAAAAUUCUAUCUACAAUAAAUGUACUAUAAAUGGCUAAGCAGAUACAUAAUUUAAGGUCCCAUUAUUUGUAUUGUAUUGCUGUUGGUUUUCCGAAUAAAAUAAAUAAAAAUAUUAAGAGUACUUUCCCUCCAGGUGGCAUUACAAAAUUCCACCCUGUAUAUCGAGUUAAUUGACUAUAGUUUAACACUUCAAUAUUUGACCCAUCACUAAUCUUUUAGAUUGCUCGAGUGUAGUUUGGUAAUAUUACCUCGGAAAAGAGAUCGUUCCAUCCACGAAGACGCGACCAUUCUUCCGCUAAUGUUUGACGCUCGGAUUGCUCGGAUCAAACUCCCCGCACCCCGCGCUUCUCUCGACCAAAAAUUGGAGGGGCGCGACUUCGUGGAUUGAUCCAUAGCUUUUAAAUGGGAUCAUCUAGGUAUAUCAGCGAAUAUAGCAGCCGUGUGGUCUUAUGUUAUUAGCCUGUAGACGUUACAUAAAUGCGUAUCUUAUAAGUUAAAAUCCAUAAAAUUCCAAAAAAUUUAAAGCUAUCCAAGAAUGCGUUUAACGAGCACUUUCACACGUCCCAAAAAUAUUAUUGACUACCACUGCUUCGGGACAGUAAUAUGGCCCAGUGCUGAGGAGAGGCAGCGCAAAAAAAUCGGUCAAUGACGGCAAUCGUUUUUAGCGGUCACCAGUUGGCGCCACUGUAGAAUAAGUCUAGUGGCGCAGACCACUGAUUAUUGGCUGGCCGAUAGUUGGGUCGGGCUGUUAAAUCAGUAUGGAGAUGUAUGAAAGUGCGCAAAUUACACCGAUUUGUUAUCGGCCGAUUCUUCAUACAAAUUAGAAUCGGGCCUAACUAUUGGCCAACUAAAAGUCGAUGGUCUGCGCCUAGACUAAGACAGAAGUCGCUCGCUAGUGGCUAACAUAGUGGCGCACUGGCGCCCAACUAGCAAACUGAAGCGGUAGGAAGACUUUAACUACACUGGCCUAAUUCACAUAUUUACAGAGGGCCUAGUGUGAGUUUAUAUCAAACGCGCUCACUAGUAAGCGCGUCAAAAAAUGACAUUAAAUGUAUGACGGAUUGUACAGCGCCCCUAGCGGGAAACGUUUAGAAACUAAAAUUUUCAUACAUCGUUUGAUGUAAACUCACACUGUACUAAGGGCCUUUCAUUUGCCAGUAAUGGUACCAACUCUUGAGUACAAAAACGACAGCCCUUGUUGAGAUACGCCUUAAUGUAACAUCAGUGACGAAAUAUAUCGCGAGUAACUCCUUUAAGACAGUGUAAUGUUUGCUCAUAUCAUUAAUUUUUAGUCGCACGUUUAGAGGAAGUGAAAUUAUUCGUAUUUAAGUGAUGGCAGACGAUGACCUAUCCUUGUCGCUCUUCAACGGUUAGAGUAGGACAGCGUUACAGAACUGUCAAGUUAACACCAAUUUUUAAUACGAACUAUUUUUAAAUUUAUAUUUAUAAUUAAACUUACUUGAAGCUGCGAAUAUGUUUCAAUAGGUAUUUAAGUGGUUAACAUUUUUUUCAUUGGACGUCAUCAGCGAUUUUUUCUAGCCAUUAGCAUUUAAUUAAAACUACCCUCAGUCUUGGUUAAUUAUUAAAAAAAACUUAAGAAAAUUUGGAUUCAUCGAUAUCGUCUCUAGAUAAUGGAUGUUAUUCAAACUAUAUUUAUUUUGAAUUAACAACAGCCUGUUAACCCUAUAUCCAAUAUAGUGAAUAUUUUUGUUAUUAGGAACCUUAAUAACCUACAUAAAAUUCAAAAUGUGGCAAUAAUUCACCAAAUUUCGCCAUUAAUUGCCAACAUUAUCUUUUAUUUUUACUAUCAUAAAUAAUAAACAUCCGUAUUCUUAGUUGAUCCUAAAAUUAAUGCAAGCCAAGUUGUUUCUUAUUUAAGUGAUAAUACACAAAUUGUCUUGCGCUAAAUCUUUGCUAGAUUUGUUAGGAUUGACUUAAGAAUACAGGUUUUUAGUAGGAACUGUACAAAAUUGCCCCCCUUUAAUAGGAUUCACAUUAUAACCGCUAGAGGGCGCUACGAAAUCACUCAAAAUUGUUCGAACGUUUUCCCAAAGAAGUACUUUCUGAUUUUAUUUUUUUAGAAAAACGAGGGAGGGAUGUCGACGAUUGUAAAUAUAGUUUUUGUAAGAAUAAAGGCAUUCUUUCCGGA